CCGCCGGACGCUGCAGUGGCUGGGGCAGGUCCGCGGCUGAGACCCGCGGGGGCCGGGACCGAACCCGAACCCGAUCCGGGUCCCGUACCCGGCCGGGGGU
rnacentral:tRNA from 1 species